rnacentral:rRNA from 1 species
CACGUAGGGGGCGAGCGUUGUCCGGAUUUAUUGGGCGUAAAGAGCUCGUAGGCGGCUCAGUAAGUCGGGUGUGAAAACUCCAGGCUCAACCUGGAGACGCCACCCGAUACUGCUGUGGCUAGAGUCCGGUAGGGGAGCAUGGAAUUCCUGGUGUAGCGGUGAAAUGCGUAGAUAUCGAGAGGAACACCUGCGGCGAAGGCGGGUUGCUGGGCUGACACUGACGCUGAGGCGCGAAAGCUAGGGGAGCGAACGGG